rnacentral:rRNA from 1 species
AUUGAACGCUGGCGGCAUGCCUUACACAUGCAAGUCGAACGGCAGCGCGAACUUCGGUCUGGCGGCGAGUGGCGAACGGGUGAGUAAUACAUCGGAACGUACCCUGUUGUGGGGGAUAACUAGUCGAAAGAUUAGCUAAUACCGCAUACGACCUGAGGGUGAAAGUGGGGGACCGCAAGGCCUCACGCAGCAGGAGCGGCCGAUGUCUGAUUAGCUAGUUGGUGGGGUAAAGGCCCACCAAGGCGACGAUCAGUAGCUAGUCUGAGAGGACGAUCAGCCACACUGGGACUGAGACACGGCCCAGACUCCUACGGGAGGCAGCAGUGGGGAAUUUUGGACAAUGGGGGCAACCCUGAUCCAGCAAUGCCGCGUGUGUGAAGAAGGCCUUCGGGUUGUAAAGCACUUUUGUCCGGAAAGAAAUCGCGCUGGUUAAUACCUGGCGUGGAUGACGGUACCGGAAGAAUAAGCACCGGCUAACUACGUG